UACGGGGGGGGCAAGCGUUGUUCGGAAUUACUGGGCGUAAAGGGCUCGUAGGUGGCCAACUAAGUCAGACGUGAAAUCCCUCGGCUUAACCGGGGAACUGCAUCUGAUACUGGAUGGCUUGAGUUCGGGAGAGGGAUGCGGAAUUCCAGGUGUAGCGGUGAAAUGCGUAGAUAUCGGGAGGAACAUCAAUGGCGAAGGCGGCUACCUGGCCCAAUACUGACACUCAGGUGCGACAGCGUGAGGAGCAAACAGG
rnacentral:rRNA from 1 species